GAACACGUAUCAUCAGGCACUUCUUCCGAGCAAGCACUCGUACAACUCUCUCUUGCCUCUUCGCUUUUCUUUCGUUCCUUGCUGUGUGUGUGUGUGUGUGUGUCCUGGUAAGCGCUGUGUGCUGCACACGCUGGACGUAUUCUGUUCUGUAUCGUUGCCUCCUCACCUCGCCCAAAUCCAGCCCUGCCGCGACACCUUCGACGCACUCGCGCCCCCUCACUCCCGUCCACACAGUCACGCUGCCCCAUCCCCAGCUAUGACCGACUGCUGGUACAUACCAGAGGCGGUCGCGGAUCGCCGCGAUGAGAAUCGUCUUUCGCCAAACGUGCCCGCCAGCUACGAGGUGCUUGGUGAAGCAGGGAUCUUCUACCGUCACUUCGACCCGAAGGAGGUAAGCGAUGACAUCGAGGGUUUCAUCCAGCCGCUUCUAAAGAAGCUCAACUACCAGAGUUACGACGUCGUGAACCUCAGCCCGGCCAACCUCGGCGCAGAGAAGUUCGAGACUCUGGCGGAGCAGCAUUUCAUGGAGCACAUUCACGAAGACGAUGAGGUGCGGUUGAUUCUCGAAGGUCAGGGCUACUUUGACGUGCGCGAUAUCAACGACAAGUGGAUUCGAUUGCUGUCGAAGCCUGGCGACUGCAUCGUUGUACCAGCCGGCAUGUAUCACCGCUUCACGACGGAUCAGAGCAAGGACAUCAAGACGCUGCGCAUCUUCAAGGAGGCUCCGCGGUGGAUCGCGCUGAACCGCGGUCCGGAGGCGGAGGAGAAGCCGGCGCGCAAGGAAUACCUCGCCCGCCUGCACGCCCCUGCCGAAACGGCUGUCGGUGCCGCCAACGGCCGCACGAUCUUCUCUCUGCGCUACCCGCUGAAGCUGGACGUGGAGCUCACCGCCAUUACGAAGCGACUGCUGGAGCAGCACAGCAAGCGACCGCUUGCCCUCGUGAUUUAUCUGACCGGCUCCACCGACCCAACCACCGGCGAGUCGUGGUGCCCGGACUGCGUUCUGGCGAAGCCGCACGUCGCGACGCGCUUUGCAGAGCUCCGAGGCAAGUACGGUGAGGAGCGCGCCAUCUUCCUGCAGCUCCCGGUCGAGCGCGCCAGCUACCUGGGCAACCCGAAUUUCCCCUAUCGCACGCACCCGACCCUGCAGCUGGCUAGUGUGCCGACGCUGCUCGUGUUGACGCCGGCCAAGGACGCCAAGGAGAAAGGCGACGUGCAGUGGCACGACCUGCUCGACGUCAAGGUGCGUACCUGCGAUGCUGACAAGGCAGAUGUGCUGAGCCUUGAGUAGCACUGGCGCCAGAGGGUGAUGUGCGAAGAACAUGAAGUAGGGAGAGAGGGCCAACUCGACUACAUACUAGAGAGCGAGACAGAGACCGCGCACCGGUGGUGGGUGUAUCAUGCGUCGCCCCUCAUGGGCCGUGCACGCUCCGUCCGUGCGGGGGCGCCCUUGCCGUUGUAACGUCUUUGCAUGGCGCAAUCUUGUCUGUUUCUCCUUCUACCGUGUCGCAGUUUUCUUAGCGAGCCCCCUCCACUCCUCCAUCGUGCGGCCUUCUCCCCACGUCUCCGUUGCCUUCUCGGAUGCACGUCGCGCCGUGCGCCUUGCGAGUAAAAGUAUUUGAUCUCCUCUCCUGUGUGUGUGUGUGUGUGGGUGUGUUAGAGGGUGGGUGCUUGCUGCGCUCCGAUCAUCGACGUUUCUGCCGUGGACGUUGCCACCACGACCGCCACCAUCCGCCACCCCCUCAAACCCUCCUGUCUGUGCGAGUGUGGUGUGUGGGGGGUGCGCCUUUUGCUUUUUUUUGUUUUGUAUGUCAAAGUGAUGACACGUUACUAUGAAGGCGAGGUAACCGUCUUCGAGUGACACCGCCACCUGCGUCUUUACCCGUCUCCCCAUCACGGGGUGGUGUUUGUGUGUGUGUGGGGGGGGGGGGGGGUCUGUGUGCCGCCCGCGCCUCAAAGCCCCCCUUGGUCGCCUCCCUCUCCACAGAACAGCAACAAAACUCCCUCGCUGAUUCCCUUGUCUUUCCUCGCGCCUCAUCAUUGCGAUGCUCGCGGAGUGGGUGGCGUGAGUUGACGUGGUUAGGGAGGCAAUGACCGUGAACACGGAGAGGAAGCGUUUUCGCCGCUCACCCUCCUCUGCACGUGGCGCUCUGCUCGGGCGAGGCUCGAUAUUGGAUCUGAGGCGAAGGGCGCACGUCCAACGAUCAAAGAGAGCGCGAACGACAAGGAGAUGGUGAGAAGAAGGGGGAUGAUGAGGAGGCGCAUGCAUGGAAAUGCGUAGCGAACGAAAACGCGCACCCGCGCCAUUCCAUAUGUCUUGAUGAUAGGCUACUAGCGUGCGGGCGCAAGCGAGCAACAAC
rnacentral:misc_RNA from 1 species